AGUGAACGCUGGCGGCAGGCCUAACACAUGCAAGUCGAACGGCAGCACAGUGGAGCUUGCUCCAUGGGUGGCGAGUGGCGGACGGGUGAGGAAUACAUCGGAAUCUGCCCAGUCGUGGGGGAUAACAUAGGGAAACUUAUGCUAAUACCGCAUACGACCUACGGGUGAAAGCGGGGGAUCGCAAGACCUCGCGCGAUUGGAUGAGCCGAUGUCCGAUUAGCUAGUUGGCGGGGUAAUGGCCCACCAAGGCGACGAUCGGUAGCUGGUCUGAGAGGAUGAUCAGCCACACUGGAACUGAGACACGGUCCAGACUCCUACGGGAGGCAGCAGUGGAGAAUAUUGGACAAGGGGCGCAAGCCUGAUCCAGCCAUGCCGCGUGGGUGAAGAAGGCCUUCGGGUUGUAAAGCCCUUUUGUCCGGAAAGAAAAGCCUCGGAUUAAUACCCUGGGGUGAUGACGGUACCGGAAGAAUAAGCACCGGCUAACUUCGUGCCAGCAGCCGCCGUAAAAC
rnacentral:rRNA from 1 species